rnacentral:rRNA from 1 species
UGAGGUGGAGCGAACCCCUAAAAGCCGUCCCAGUUCAGAUCGCAGUCUGCAACCCGACUGCGUGAAGUCGGAAUCGCUAGUAAUCGCGGAUCAGCAUGCCGCGGUGAAUACGUUCCCGGGCCUUGUACACACCGCCCGUCAAGCCAUGGGAGCCGGGGGCGCCUGAAGUCCGGGACCGCGAGGACCGGCCUAGGGCGAAACUGGUAACUGGGGCUAAGUCGUAACAAGGUAUC